UACGUAGGGUGCGAGCGUUGUCCGGAAUUAUUGGGCGUAAAGAGCUCGUAGGCGGCCUGUUGCGUCCGCUGUGAAAGCCCGGGGCUUAACCCCGGGUCGGCAGUGGAUACGGGCGGGCUAGAGUUCGGUAGGGGAGACUGGAAUUCCUGGUGUAGCGGUGAAAUGCGCAGAUAUCAGGAGGAACACCGGUGGCGAAGGCGGGUCUCUGGGCCGAUACUGACGCUGAGGAGCGAAAGCGUGGGGAGCGAACAGG
rnacentral:rRNA from 1 species